AGUGGACGCUGGCGGUAGGCCUAACACAUGCAAGUCGAACGGCAGCACAGUAAGAGCUUGCUCUUACGGGUGGCGAGUGGCGGACGGGUGAGGAAUACAUCGGAAUCUACUUUUUCGUGGGGGAUAACGUAGGGAAACUUACGCUAAUACCGCAUACGACCUACGGGUGAAAGCAGGGGAUCUUCGGACCUUGCGCGAUUGAAUGAGCCGAUGUCGGAUUAGCUAGUUGACGGGGUAAAGGCCCACCAAGGCGACGAUCCGUAGCUGGUCUGAGAGGAUGAUCAGCCACACUGGAACUGAGACACGGUCCAGACUCCUACGGGAGGCAGCAGUGGGGAAUAUUGGACAAUGGGCGCAAGCCUGAUCCAGCCAUACCGCGUGGGUGAAGAAGGCCUUCGGGUUGUAAAGCCCUUUUGUUGGGAAAGAAAAGCAGCAGGUUAAUACCCCGCUGUUCUGACGGUACCCAAAGAAUAAGCACCGGCUAACUUCGUG
rnacentral:rRNA from 1 species